GAGACAAGAGAAAACGCCGGUCUUGGUCUGGCGAAUUUAACUCGUCAGUUAAAGGUCAUUUGAAAAUAAUUUCAGAAUAUGAAAUUAUUUUCAGAGUAUUUAUAAAGCUAGGUAAAUCUCCUUCUGGUAUUUUUGAGAGUCCCUGUGAGACGUUCCUGCUGCUGGGUGACUGUGGGUCCGGGAAGCUCUCUGCACUCAGGAUGUCAAAGGCCCAGCUCUCAGUCCCCGCUUCUCCCUAGCCAUGGGGAGUCGCUGUCCCCAGCUGAGAAGGACAGUGGGAAGGACUGCCUGUAGGUUUAAGGAAUGUCUUUCAAGUCUAAAAAUUGCAACCAAAAGAACAUAAAGCUUAAUGGAAAUAACAGUGCUGCGAUUCCUGGGAGGGAAGCACUGUCCGGUUGGAUCAUCGGUCCACGGGAAGCACCUACACGCCGUGACGCCACGCUACCUGCCCAGAUGAACACGGAGCGCCAUAGAGCAGCAUGCACACUGGGCCACAGCUGUGCUAAAGUACGGUAGCAUGGCACAUGGUGACCCCAGACAGCUGUUUUGGUGUAAGCAUCCAUUAUAAUAACAGCGAUAAUGCAUCGGCCCCACUCUGGUUCGAGCUAGAGUGAUUACUUUCCAGCUAGGUUUCCAUAACUUACAUUACUGAUUGCAUUCUAGCUCGAUUUCCUAUCAUCACGCCAGAGCCCAUGGAUGGAGGGUCACAUCUCAGCUGAUGAGAGAGGUCGUGGGCAGUGGUCACGGGAGCCAGACCCACAGGGCCGCUGUAGUUCAAGUUCUGGUCCCAGUAGCUUGGAAAACACACUGGGUGCAUGUACAUCCAAG